GAGAAACAGCCAGAAAACAUGGAGAUACUUAAGCUUAAAUCUAUGCUGGGAAAGCUCUAAUUAUAAAAGCUCCACACCUGUUUGCAAGCUUGGCAGCACGGCACUUUGGUUUUGAUGGGAUUUCUCUGGAUCAGAACUGCUUUUCAUCUGUGGUGACCACAAAAAAAAAAAAAACUCUCCAGAGAUCUGGUAAGGAUGAAGAAUUUCAGAGGACUGUGCUUUGAUCUGAAGAUGAUGAAGAGGGUUCCUUCUGGACUCGAGGAGUAGCUGUAGUGACCAAGACAAAAAAAAACAAAAAAUGUCUCAGUUUGGUUAACAAAAGGACACGGAAGACACCGACGUAGAGCUGUCCAGGCUGGAUCACGACCGGUGAAGGGUUCAGAUCAGACAGGCAAACGCACAACGUGGAUUCGACCAGGCGAUAAGAGCUAUCUGCACCCAAAGGGACCUCAGUCCAGCUCCCGUGAGGAAAACUCUUUGACCCCCAGGACUGAGCAUGCAGCCCACUGGGACUGGAUUCAUGCACAGAGCUCCCACUCUGCUCCCUAAAUGACUCACUAAAAAGCUGCCUUGCCGGUGAUCAAGCUGUGAGGGGGCCUUGAUCGCACACCAGGACUCUGGGCCUGCCCUUCUGCUCAGACUCUGCAG
rnacentral:lncRNA from 1 species